rnacentral:lncRNA from 1 species
CCAAGGCACAUGGAACUUACAAUAGCAGAUGGUAAGAACCAGGCAGAAGGAGAACUCCUGAAGCCUCCGAAGGAAGGAAAUCAUUACAGGGCCCUACAGAAGUAGGUCAUGUGCUACAGCUGCUCAUAGUUUAAGAGGAAGAAACAUGGGACCUCAAACCUGGAACACGACUCUUUCAAAAUGCUUGUGAGCAACCCAAGAAAAACAUCCUCCUGAGGCUUAUCUAAUAACCAUGAUCUCUAAUCGUCUCAAUGUGUGCUCAUGUUUCCUUAGGAGUUUGCACCCACUUCUCAGAGCUAACGAGAUGCCGAAACAGAACACAGAAAAAAGUAAUGAAGGAGAUUUAAUAGUUUGUGUUAAAGCUAAUAUGGUCCAUUAGGAGCUGUCAUUUUUAUAAACAAUGAGGAUACGUUACCCUCUUCUUUGGUGUAAAGUCAUUCCAUGCAGGACCUGUAAACAUUCAGUAAUGAUCUGUAGAACAUGCAUGAACGACAAUUAAAGCGCCACUUGAAAAGUCUGUUUUCCUCACAUAUUUGUUUUCUUGCUAAAUAAACUUGUAAAGUUCAUACAUGUGUACGCAUAUGCUUACAUUAUAAAAAAA